UGAAUACGAGAUGCUACGGCGUCGAAGCAGUCUAUGUCAUACUUCCAAGAAAAGCUCGCACUGUCAUAAACAAAUAAUGCCUGUACCAUAACCGACACAGGUGGGUAGGUAGAGUAUACUAAGGGGCGCGAGAUAACUCUCUCUAAGGAACUCGGCAAAAUGACUCCGUAACUUCGGGAGAAGGAGUGCCUUAUUUAUAAGGUUGCAAUAACAAGAUCCAAGCAACUGUUUAUCAAAAACACAGGUCUCCGCUAAGUCGUAAGACGAUGUAUGGGGGCUGACGCCUGCCCAGUGCCAGAAGGUUAAAGAAGUUGGUUAGCAUUCGCGAAGCUGAUAACUGAAGCCCUGGUGAACGGCGGCCGUAACGAUAACGGUCCUAAGGUAGCGAAAUUCCUUGUCGGGUAAGUUCCGACCCGCACGAAAGGCGUAAUGAUUUGGAUACUGUCUCGGAGAGGGGCUCGGUGAAAUAGACUUGUCUGUGAAGAUGCGGACUACCUGCACCAGGACAGAAAGACCCUAUGAAGCUUUACUGUAACUUGAGAUUGAAAUUGGACUUUACUUGCGCAGUAUAGGUGGGAGGCGUUGAUAAUAUUCUUGCGGGAUUAUUUGAGCCAUCAGUGAGAUACCACUCUUGUAAUGUUAGAUUUCUAACUUUGUAUCAUUAUCUGGUCAAAGGACAGUUUCAGGCGGGCAGUUUACUGGGGCGGUCGCCUCCUAAACGGUAACGGAGGCGCACAAAGGUUUCCUCUGAACGGGUAGAAAUCGUAUCUAGAGUGUAAAGGCAUAAGGAAGCUUGACUGUGAGACCUACAAGUCGAGCAGGGACGAAAGUCGGUCUUAGUGAUCUGACGGUGCUGAGUGGAAAGGCCGUCACUCAACGGAUAAAAGUUACUCUAGGAUAACAGGCUGAUCUCCCUAAGAGUUCACAUCGACGGGGAGGUUUGGCACCUCGAUGUCGGCUCAUCGCAUCCUGGGGCGGUAGUACGUCCCAAGGGUUGGGCUGUUCGCCCAUGAAAGCGGUACGCGAGCUGGGUUCAGAACGUCGUGAGACAGUUCGGUCCAUAUCCGGUGUAGGCGUUAGAAUAUUGAGAGGAGCCUUCUUUAGUACGAGAGGACCGAGAAGGACAUACCUCUGGUGUACCAGUUAUCGUGCCAACGGUAAACGCUGGGUAGCUAUGUAUGGAGUGGAUAACCGCUGAAAGCAUCUAAGUGGGAAGCCCACCUCAAGAUAAGUAUUCUCAUC
rnacentral:rRNA from 1 species